rnacentral:misc_RNA from 1 species
CCUCCUUUCUAAGGACUAUAUAUACUAAAAUCAUCAUCUUCAGUUUUGAAAGACUUAAGUAGAAAAUAAGUUUUUCUUUUAAGCGCCAAAGGGCCUAUAGCUCAGUUGGUUAGAGCACACGCCUGAUAAGCGUGAGGUCGGUGGUUCAAGUCCAUUUAGGCCCACCAAAAAAAGGUCCUGCUUAAAAAGUUCUUUGAAAAGUAGAUAAACAUGCUUUAAAAUUUUCAUAAAGUGAAGGAAGUAAGGCAUAU